UAAUGAAGUGUCACGAAACUGGGAUACCCAUCACAGACUAGAUAUUGAGUACAGCUUGUGAUUAGAAUACUUUGUUGCAAGUUUCAGCAAAGGUUUGUCUCUAUUAUUACACGAGGAAAUCGCUACAGACGACCUCAUUUUAAUGGUUAUGGAGUUAUGAUACAACGGAUUGAAUCGUGAACCUGCACAGCUACACAAUACUUUUAUGACACCCUGGACUUUUAAGUAUUUUAAAUUUCCUACUUCCAUUUUAUCCUUAUAUCAUAUUAUAUUAUAUUAUACACGAAUUGUGUUCUUAUGCAAUUGAUUAUUGUACCUCCCAGUGGUAAGGGUUAACUGUGGAAAAAAGUUUUUUGAUGAAGGGGUGGGACUUCCUGUAUGGCACUAUAAAGCACUUUUUCACUUUGUUUCGUACACACUUGAUAAAGGGUACUUGCUGCCCGAAACAUGUUGUGUGAAAGGCACAAUAAAGAUUGAA